UUACGCUUAAAUUCAACUUGGCUCCAGGGAGUGGACUAAUAGCAGUAGUCCAACUGACUGGUAAAACUAAUAAACAGAAGAGAAGACAAAGUUAGUGAGUAGCCGGUGAAGAUUCAGGAGUAAUUAGCAGCCAGCGUGGCACAUACAUCCCCCAGGAGUUGGCAUAAACCAGAUGAGUGCCAGAAGGGGAGGGAAUAUUGGACUCUUAUUGAACCGCAUGCCUUCCAAAUGAGGGCCAAUGCUGCUAAAGGAUUUUAACUCAUAAUUUAUUCUCCUCGUGCUGCUGAGUGGACUAAAGAAUAAAUGAAUGUUGCACAUGAUUGAGGAAACACUGCAUACCAAGACAUGACAGCACCAAAUCUGCGUGCAUUUCAACAUCUAAUUAUCAUGUGUUUACUUGACUAUUGACUCCCUCCAUUGAUGUGCAUUUAUAUCACGUCUGGAAAAGUUACCCAACACAUGAAUAGCACAUGUGGGAUGGGUUUCUAUAUAUCCUGUCAGUUUGCUUACACUGAGCAACGUUAAGGUUGUUGUGUUGAAACAGUUUACCAGAUCGUCCAACCUCCCUCACUCACUUUCCUUCAGGUGACCCUGUUUAUUGGAUACAAAACAAACAUUUUGUCCUACAGUAUGGAAGAUAAAAAUGGCCAUGGAUUUUUCUUUUUUAAGGCACUGUUAUCUCAUGAUAACGACUUAUUAUCCCGUUAUCACAGUAUAACAAAGUUCAUUUUCUUGUAACGAACUUGUAACAAAUGUUUUUGUCAUCUUGACAUAUCAGAGAUCGUUUCAAGGGAUAAUGAAUUAUUUUGCCGAUGUAAAACCGUAACUUUUAAAAACGCUCACCAGAGUGGGAUAUUUCUAAAAUGCCGCAGCCACCAUUGUCAAUGGAAACGCUGAUGUCACACUCUAUACAUGUGCAUUAUACUUUCAACAUGUGAACAUUUAACUGCCAUGCAUGAAUUGGACAACAACAGUAACAAUGGCGGACAAAUUAUUUAUUUAUUCCUUAUUACGAGAUGCUGAGGAAACAAAAAAUAAAUCAUUAUCAUGAGAAAGCAAACUUUGCUAUUUUGAGAUAAAGAGAUGUUGUUUUUAUGAGAAAACAAACUUUGUUAUAAAACGAGAUAAUAAGUUGUCAUCAUGAGAUAACAGUGCAUUAUAUAAAAAAGAAAAAUCCAUGGCCUUUCUUGUCUUCUCUACUAUAGCUCCAUUUUCCAGAUAAAUAAACAUCUGCCAGUCUGUUGUUAAUGUAUGUCACCAGGGAAUCUCCAAGCUGAUUGGCUAUCGUGGUGCAAAUGAUUCCCUUGAGUUUGGAUUUUUCAACUCUUUUUAAGCGAGUUGCAUGUUGAACAUGUUGUCAUUCAGACUAUUAGUGCCGCCUCAUUUGUGUCUUCUUGAGAACUUGCGUUUUCACAUUGACUUUGCGUGUAAUUCGCUCACAGGAUUUAAUUAUGUAAGGCGUGAACACAACAUGAGGCAGUGAACUUAUCUCUUAAACCAUGUAAUGAUAGACCGUGCUGGAAAAGUUUCUGAGAGGAAUACACAGUUUUUAAGGAGAGUCUUGACUUACCAAUGAAGUGUAAGAAAUCAACCAGUCAGCAAUACCUCAAUCUGCUUUAAACUGAAACUUUGGUUGGUCUCCUUCACCCUGAGGAAAACACAUCUCUGCAGAUGUAGUGUCCGUGCGCGUGUCUAAUCAUUCACAUGCGGCCCUCUGUGAGUGGUUUAAUAUAGAGAAAAAGAAAAAAAGAUCUCAUGUAUUUUUGAGCUGUGGAAUAUUUUAAGUCAACGGGCACUUAAACUCUCUUCAGUUAGGCCCUUAAUUUAUUCAAAUUCUCCUAACACACUCAUACUAAGUCCCCGAGUCACAUUUUUUCUCAUUACACUGCCUCUCAUUCAAAUCUCAGCCAUCCCUCUGUCCAUCUGUCCCAUCAGCUUGCUCCAAUGAAUCCAGAAGGGGAAAAACACGCACUUACAUACCAAAAAGGCUAGUGGUUAUCACUGCAGAGGUAAUACUGAUACAUCAUCAGAGCAAAUUAUUAAAAGGAUCUUUGCUAAAUAUUGAAUACUCAGAUUUUAUUCACACUCCACACCUCAUUUUUAGGAUAAGGAUUUAUCCCCCAGAAUUUUUGAUUUGCUAUCCAUGUCAAACCAUAAAUAGUGGCUUGUAUAAGCUUUCUAAGUGAACUGUUUUUCAGUCUUUCCCUGGUUGUACAAAAGAUUUACAAAGUCAUGUCACCAAAGUCUGCAAUGAAAGCUUGUGAACCUGUAGCGAGGAGAAAAAGAGUCUAGAUUUGUUUUUUUUUUUUGUGAAGCAAUGGCUGCUGCAGAGGAGCGUUGAUGAUGAAUUGGAGUGGAGGAGUGGUGGGGUUAGGUCAUUACUGGCUCUGUGGGCAGAAAUUUCUAACAAGUCUUUAAAAUGUCAAGGGAUACCUUCCGCCAAUGAUGUGAAAUCUGACAAAGUGAAUGUCGCUCAAGGGUGGGAUGUGAGUCACAUGGCUCAAGUUCUGACACAUCAAAUUGAGAUCACCUUUCGAUAGUUCUAACCUGUGUCUGCUUUGGGACCGGAGAUGAAGGUGGCCCAAACCUCAUUUGAAAAGAUGAGAUUUGAUGUGACAUGUUGUAGUCAAAACAGAUCUGAGCAGUAAUUGAAGAUAUAAUGGACCCUGGUGGAAAUUUGUUUUGUGGUUCUCCUUCUUGCCUCACAAAGAGAAACAGACUCAUACACAUGUACACUCACAGACAAACACAUCCUCCCCAAACAGCUAGAAACUCGCUGGCCACUUUGUUUGGGCUUCAGAACUGUCUUAUUUCUUCCAGCAUACUUUCAACAAGGUGUUGGUAACCUUCCUCAGAGAUAUUUGUCCAUAUUAACAUGUAAGCAUCACGCAGGUACUGCAGAUUUAUUGGCUGCGCUUCCAUGAUGUUAAUCUCCCCCUCCACUACAUCCCAAAGGAUUCACUAUAGGAUUGACUAAAUGUUUGACUAUAUGUCCUGUUGAUGAAGUUAGGUGCUGUUCUGAGCAUUAUUUGUGGCUAUAGAUUGGCUUUUUGGUUGAUGUUUUUGUUUGGCUCCUUUGACCACUGUGUAUUGCUAUCUGUGGUCCUUACUAAAGUUGGUAUAACUAGAGAAGCAAGUGGUCGGUAACAUUCAUCUCUUGAGGGGGUGUCUAACUUAGUAUUAUGCCGGAAUAACCCUUUAAGCAAGUCUACUUGACCACGUCUUCAUAGCUAAAUGUAUUGAGUUGCAACCAUGUGAUUGGAUGAUUAGCAAUUAAGAUUUGAACAGGUGCACCUAAUUAAGUGGCCAAUGUAUGUAUGUCACCCUGCAGAGACUUACACCACAGUUUUUAUCGAAACCAGCCAAUGAUGAAAACCACCUGCAGCCAUAGAAACAGUAAAUUGUACAGCUCUGUGCCAUUUGUUAGAAAACUUUUACUUUUACACCUGUUACAACCGGUUGAGGUUUUGUUUACCAACGGGCUUCCUAGCAACAUAUCCAUGCCAUUCGGUCAGGCAUGCGAACACCGAGGCAUGCAUGGGACACUUAGCCGGUUUCUGUUUGAUUGAGCCACCGUAUACACGACAGAGAAAAUUGAUCCCCAUCUGCAAUAUCCAGGUAUGUUAGUCUGACUUUUAGAAGCUCAAUAAUGUCUUCACUUGAUUUUUAAAAGUCCAGUCUCAGUUGGAAUCAGGCAAUAAAUCUUUUUUUCUGUUUUAACUGCAUGUAAACAUAGUGACUUAAAUGAUCAAAAUAAGAUCCAAAAGGACUGAAAAGUGAUUGUGAGCCAUCAGCACAUCAAACUCCUUGAAGAGAUGGUAUAAAGAUUUAUCACAUCCUUGAUAGCGAAGGUUGGAACAGCUUUUAUCCCCACGUUACCUUUUUCAUGGGCCUCCCAAAGUGCAAGGACUCUGGCACCAACUGCAUCAACAAUACUGAACACUUGUGAAUCUGAGUCCAAUGACAAUACGGUUAAUUUUUGCCUGUAGUUUCAACAUACUGGAAGUGGAAGUCAUGAGCGCUCAUAUACUUGAUAUAUAAGUUCAUAAAAGGAGUUUAGGGACACUGUAAACUGCCUGUAUUUGACCCUUUUCAAGGUAACAUGAGGAUAGAGAUUGGGAUUACAUGCAAAAACACCACAGUUCUUCUUUCACAUUCAAACCAGGACACGGUUAUGGUAAUAUGAUUUGGACUGCACAAAGUAAAUUAUCAUGUUCACGCCUCAUGCUAAAAUGAAUGAAAACCACACAGGUACGCUCUGACACUUUUAUCAUAUCAAGUGAAAAUUAAAGUUUCUCUGUGUCCACAGUUCCACUUCCAACAUCAGGGAGAGACACUAAUUUCUGUUUCAAUUUAUGAAACUGCUAACCUUUAGACUGAGCAUUUAUAUUUCAGGUCCUUUCAUACCAGAGAGUCAUAUUUACAUAAAUACCUUGCGCACUCUCACCCAUCUAUUAUAGGCACAGCUGGCAUCUCCCCACCUGGCACAGCUCUCCAGUGGGAAGGGUUGGAAAGGUGAAUCUUGACACACACGAGAGGCGCACACACUCACGUACAAACAGAGAAAGUCUGAUCUCAAAAUAUGUUUCUAUUUGUUUUACUCUCUGUUGUUUCAAACACACAUGCCUCUUUCAUUUUGUCAGGUUUGAAUUUCUGUCUCUCUGGAAAUGUCACUCCUUUUCUAUCAAUAAAGUUGCAGCUUUUAAUGUCUGCUUUGCAAACAGAGCAUAGCAGCAACCCCUGCUGCUGAGGCACGGCUUCAAGGACGGCAAGCAUAACUGCGCUAAAGCUUAAGCACAAACACCUAUGCAGACACACACACUUACAUGCAAAUGCACACGCAGAGAGAAGAGCACAAAGGCAUUCACAGAGCCUUUUUUUUGCAUGCUUAGACAUCUUUCAACACAUGCUCCUUCUCCAUACUUCCCACACACUCUUAAACUUACAUCCUCACUGGAGUACAAACAUGCAUGAUGAAUAUAAGGGUUAAUCAUGUUGUACUUAGGGGAGGUACAUAAUUAAUGAUUCCUAUGCAAGCUCUGCUGUUUUUUGCAGACUACAUGAAAAAUGAUGAAAAAGAUAAGAAUCACUGCAGGGGGCAAGUUUGUGGCCUCAUGCAUUCAUGCGCCGGCACACUUAUGCAGUGUGACCACAGUGUAUGUGCACCUUCCUGUGUGAUUUGGAGGGUUUGUUUAUGAAUGUAGACACUGGUAAUAAGAAGCUGUUAUCCUUGUUUGAGUGAGUAAAUGAAAAGGCCGAACAAAAAGCUGGGGGGAAAUACUAAUCAGCAGUUAUGCCUCCAGUGGUUGCACCAAACAACCGCUUGAAAAACAAACAUGUUAUCUGGGUUAAUCAAAGUAUUACAAGGAGGUUGACAACUUUACAUCCUAUCAAGAGAAUAAUUGAUUAAAGAAAUGCAACCACUGGUUUGCAUCCUGGGCUUUGUAUCACUUUAAUCCAUGAUAGAGAUGAUCAUAAAUGGGUGGUACUUGGAAGUUGUUGGCUUGAUUAUAUUUAACGUUAAUGUUUAGAUUUGAUAAGGUUAACUCAACAAGACCAGAUUCAGUUCAAUUAUGAGUUUGUCAUUGUUUUGGUGACACAAGCUGACAAAGUAAUACUCUCAUGUUAUGAGAUUAAAGUCAAGAUAAAGUCGUAGUUUUGGUCUACAGUCAGCAGUCAGCUGUCAGCACCAAAAUGAGGAACAUGGAGUUUGCCAAAUAUUGUCCUUAAUGUUCUCCGCAGCACAACAUCGUUUUAAGUAUCAAGACUGAACAGGCUGUGUGAAAAGCUGAAAUUAACACCUCCCCUCCAAAACAGCAUUAUAUGGUAAAUCCUAAGCCAGCUCUAAAUAUUGUAGUUAUAUAAGUCAUGUUUCAGUCAGAGAAAGAAAUUAAUGAGUGAUCGGCACUGCGUUGCCUCGUUUCGGACUCUUAUUAUUCUGAUGAAACAUUAGCAGUUUCUCUAAAAGCAGCGAUAACUGAGAUAAUUCAUGGUCAUUUUUUCUGUCAGCUAAUGUCAUAUUGAGCGAAAACUGACAGCUUAAGAGUCAGUCAUCAGAGUUAUACACAAUGUACCUUUAAAAAAGACAUAGAUGGCUGCGUGCUUUACUCCCCCCCCCAAAAAAAAAACAAAACAUUUCCUAUUUGAAGACAAGACUGUUACCAUAACAAAAAGGAGAAAAAACAACAUAGCAUUGGCUAAGCUUUACACACCUUGGCGGCCAAUUUUAAGAUAAAAUAGAUCAGCGAGCACAGCUUGGCUCCUUAUGCCACUGGGCUGAUUUGUUCAGAUUCAAUAAUAGGCUCUUAAGGGAAUUAUAAAGCCAUUACAUAACUAACCUAAUAAAAGGAAUGUCAUCCUACUUCACACAACCCUCCCUCUUUGUGUUUCACCCGUCCACCUUUACCUUAACAUAGCUUUAACUCAAUAAUUGAUAGCCCUAUCUUUCUGUGUUUCAAGGCCUUGUGUUUGGCUAAAUGAGGGCAUCCUGUCAGUGGGUUGAUUUUAGGUCAGAUUCAGAAGUCCCUUGCUAAUGAAAAAGGUUAUAAAAGGUUCUUAGCAGCAUGCAGCCUCUUUCCAGCGCUUGUUAGUUGCUUGCUGUGCUAAAUAUUCAGUCUUAAUAUGAGAGAGUCAACUAAUCAAGGUGCAGUUUCCUUUCGCUGUAGCCCUCAUGCUUAUGAAUCCUUUUUGAAUUGCUAAUGUGUAUUCAAGUAUCUUUUAGUCCUGCCAGUAUGU